ensembl:lncRNA
GGGCAAGGGGACAAGGAAGGCAAAGCCAGGUAAGGCAACCAAGAAUGAAGAGCAAGGGAGAAACUCCAAGCAAAGCCAAGAACCAUCCUCUGAAAAGGCAAGGAAUGCUCUCCUCUGGGAGGAAGAAGCUAAUGCAAAGAAAGGAACAGGUAACGAGAACAAAGAACCAAAAAAAACCAACCAGACACAAAGACAAUGGAAAGCAAAGCAAAAGGCGCACUACUGAAAAGCAACAGGGGAAAAACAACCAAACGAGGAAGACAAAGCAAUUCAAACAAGUCACCAUACUGCAUUCCAUUCAUUUGCUUUACUCGUGUAUAUCGUGGCAAACCAAAGAAGCCAAACACAGUACAAAGAGAAAAACACUCACCAAUGCUUAGCACUGAAGAGAAGGAAGAAACCAAAAUUCUCGAGCAAUGCAAGGCAAAGAUACAAAAGAAAAACCAAAGAGCAAAGCAAAACAAAGCCAG